UACGUAGGGUGCGAGCGUUGUCCGGAAUUAUUGGGCGUAAAGAGCUCGUAGGCGGCUUGUCGCGUCGGAUGUGAAAGCCCGGGGCUUAACUCCGGGUCUGCAUUCGAUACGGGCAGGCUAGAGUGUGGUAGGGGAGAUCGGAAUUCCUGGUGUAGCGGUGAAAUGCGCAGAUAUCAGGAGGAACACCAGCGGCGAAGGCGGCGCUCUGGGCCGGAACUGACGCUGAGGAGCGAAAGCGUGGGUAGCAAACAGG
rnacentral:rRNA from 1 species